rnacentral:ncRNA from 1 species
CACCGCCCGUCACUCCUACCGAUUGAUGAUCCGGUGAAAUGUUUGAAUCGUGGCGACAUGGGCAGUUUACUGUCCGACAUCGCGAGAAGUCUAUUGAAUCUUAUCAUUUAGAGGAAGGAGAAGUCAUAACAAUGUUUCCGUAGGUGAAUUUGCGGAAG